UGUUGUUAAAACAUCUUUCAGCUUCAUGCUACAAAUUUGCACUUGAAAUUAUCAAUCCUGCCUCGCCAAAAAUAACAUCAACAACAAUAACAAUAAUGAAGAACCUGAUAAAUAGAUAAAUGAAUGAGAACAUGAGGGUAUAGUUACAUGCAUUGAUGAAGGCAAUAAAAAGUUUAAAAAGGAAAAUAGUGGAUUUGAUUAAGCUUGUAGAACUUGUUGGAGAUAGCUUUAGGACAUUCUAUGAAACACAUUGUGUAACUUGUGUAUGUGACGGUAAACACUAAACUCUCAGGGAAUCGGGGUGAAAGGCUGGUUUAAUUUUAUACGAUAAGGAAUUCAUUUAGAGGUGUCUGUGAAAUAAAAUCCUGGCCUAAUGUUUCAGUUGAUCAAAUAUAUAAACCAUCAAUAGUCUUUACAUGUUUAAAGAACAAUUAAUUCAAAUUCCAACUCAAGUUAAAUCCUUUUCACUUUGAUUUGACAUAAAUGCUUUUCUUUUUUUAUUUUCUUUUAUUUAUUUUGGUUGUGAUCGUAACUAUUGGUCUUUUAUAACAAUUGUGAUCACAUGCAGACGUGCAUUUUAUUUGUUGAAUGGUUGCAACUAUGUAGAUUGUUUCUAUUGUACCUAUUUAAUUGCCAAAAUUUGAAAAUUAUGUAAGCUUGAUCGGUUAGACUGCUAAACGUAAUUUAUUAUUUAUCCAGUUAUUUGAUUUAAUAACUAAGAGAAGAAGUAAGAAAUUUUAUUAAAGAAGGAAGAAGAAUGGUUAGAAUAUAAGGUAUCCUCCUAAAUUAAGCAACUCUUAAGGACAACUAAUCAGAACAAGUAAAAAGAAGCCCUCCAAUCAUACUGCACAACACUUAAGGAGACUUGUUUUGAAGGCCCUGAAGUCAAAGCCUGUAAAGAAGCCAUUAUGUGAGCAACCGACUCUUUCUUAGCGUGAUUUAAACAUAGUAUAGUUAUUACUCUAAUAAAAUCUUGUGAACAUUAAUUGCAUUAGAUGUUAUAUUAUUUGGCUCAAGGGAGCUUACGUGAUUCCAUAGACACAACGGACAGGCGUGCAUGAAGUUGUGGGAGAGAGUUAUGAAACAUCGACUACGUCAUGACA
rnacentral:misc_RNA from 1 species